rnacentral:misc_RNA from 1 species
UGAGUGUGUGUGUACGUGUAUGUGAGGAAGACUACAUACACACUCACAGCGCCACUCAUACAGACCCUCGUACACACUGACAGACACACGCACGCGCUCGUCGAGUGAAGGAGGAAUCGAAAUUUAUUUGUAUUUUCUACGAAGAGGUUAAUUGCAGAAGGAAAAAAAAGGAAUAAAAUAGAGAAAAGUUUAGGAAGGAAGGAAAAACGGAAGGAAGAAAGGAAGGAAGGAAGGAAGGAAAGAAAGAAGGACAGGUGAACCAAUUAAGGUGAACCAGAUACUCACACCUUACCUUUCCACGUAAGAAACAAAAAGAAAAGAAAAAACCCACAGAAAAAAGGACACAAAAAGAAAAAAUCUCGUAACCUGUGAAAAGGAAAAGAAAAGAAGUAAAAAAAGGGGAGAAGGAGAAAGACUCAGAAAAAAUGACGUGGUUAUGGGUGAGAAAGAGAAGAGAGAGAACCAUUUUCCUUAUCCUUACCCUCACGACGACUCUUCUUCACUUCACCACGGCGGAGGACGAGACCACCACCACAAUCAACACCACGACCCUACCUGACGCCGAAGGAGGAGGAGGAGGAGGAGGAGAAGAAGGAAAUGGAGGAGGACUCAGGAACUCCUCCAGCUUCUCUCCCUACCUGGACUUGACUAAUUUCGUGGAUGGGAUUAAUAACUGGGACUUCAUGGGGCCGUGGGCCAAGUACGAUCUGUCUCUGCUUGACGAGGCAUCAAGACCCCUGCCCCUCGUACCUGACGCAGAGGAUCAGGGAGUGUUUAUCUGCCAGACCUCAGCGCUGCCCAGUACCCUGCAGAAGAGCUUUCCUACCCUGCACAACGCCACUCUAUCCCUCACCUACUACGCCAAGGCUUCCAAUGGCCAGCUGUCCAUGACGGGUGUAGUGUUGGCGGCGGAAGGGUCGAGGGAGACACUCUUCAACUACUCUGUGCCAGGGGACGGGGCGGCACACCCUGAGGGGACAUGGGGCACCGACACCUUCGAGAUUCCCCCCUUGGCUGCCCAGGGGACUUCAAGAUUCUGUUUGGGGUUCAACACAACGAGGCGGGCAUGUGGGCGGCGGCAGACAUUACUGUGAGGGGAAUGACAGGACCGCCCGUCACCACCACUCCUGCACCUCCUAUCCCUCCACAAGCGAACCUCACAACAGAAUCUAGCCUCAAUGAAACGACAACAACAGCAACACAGGUUAAUGGCACCACACUUGAGCCUGCUAACGUCACCACCAUUGCCACUGUCACCACUACUGAAGAG